AAAUGCACCAAAGGCAGAGCCUAAUCUCAUCUGAAAGCAUUUAAGCACUUACUUUAAUUAAUUAUGAAUGACAGAUCUAAAGGUUAAUAAAUGCAAAGAAAUACCCUCAACUGGAUUUUACUUCCUUUUAGUUAUACCUUUUGGGCUAGGUACCCAUCAAGCCAAUCAGUAAUUGCUGCAGCAAUGAAAAUAGUAAUUGCUGCAGCUCCCCCCAACCAACUAUCCACAUAAAAAGCUAGAGAACAAAAUUUGGUGAGUUAGCCGCCCAAAACCCAUCCCAUCUACAAAAUUUCAGCUUUUGAGUUUCUUAGGAAUAACCAAACUUUUCCAACUCCAGAAUUCAGUAGUUCUUAUUAGGGCCUAUUUGGUUCAUCCUGCAAAUGGAAGUCACUCAAGACAUCUCAUUUCAGGAUUCCCAUUCCAAUUUUCAGUUUUAGGAAGGCAAGCUAAACGAGGCCUAAAAAUUAUUUUGAAAAGUAUGCUCAUAGUUAUAUUUUGCUUCCACCCGAGAUAAGAUGAAUAGAGUACAAAACAAAACAAAAAAGAGAUUCUAUAUAGUUUAGAACCUGAUUUCUCCUAUGCCAAAGGCUAUAAAAUUACUCCUGUACCCAUUUCCAUUUCAUUUCUAAGAUCAACCAAAUAAUCCAUUUAAGACAAUGUAGCUAGCAGGAUAAAGCCAGCUAGAUCCUCCAAAUGCAGCACCAAUACAGAGAGGUCAUGCAAAUAUUUAAAAACACCAAAUCAUUUAGUCAUGUCAUAGCUUGUAUAAAACCCAAAUAACUAUUUGACAUUACAUGCAUGAAAUCUAUAAUCAACUCGCUUCAUCAUCAACGAAGAUAAAUCUCGUAGAAAGAAAAAAAUAAAAAAAAGCCGCAAUUAAUUUGCAAUCUUGCCAGAGAAAAUAGAAAGGCAAUGUGCAGGCUUUCCUAUUGGAUUGGAUAAACAAAAGAUCCAUCAAAAUUUACCAAAUUGAAAUUGAAAUUCAAUUAACUAAAACUGAUAAACAAUUAUAAUAUGUUCAAAAAAAAAAGCUAUUGGAAAAACACACCUAAAUAAAUAGGACCUACCUCGAAUCAAACAAUAAAAUGAAUCGAAAUAUAUACCCGAUAAAACACAUAUGAGAGUAAAAGGAAAAACCUAAAGUGUAACGUACUGCUAACGAGAAGCGGCACAGAAGCGACACGGCCAAGAGUUAAAAUGGUAGGUAGUGUGAGCAAUUUAUAAUAUGAGUCUUGCUUAUGCCGAUUUUGCAAAGACCGCGACCGCAGCAGCGGCUGAUUCUGACCGUUUAAAUAGUUAUUCUGAUACCAAUCAACCCCAUUGACCUUGGUCUCAGUACCCAUAUCUGCUGCUUUUGGAGCGUUGGAGGAGGAGGA
rnacentral:misc_RNA from 1 species